GCUCAAAUUUGAAAUCUUAAAGGUUUUACCUUGACGAAUUGUAGUUUAAAGAAGUGUUUUCUGUUGGUGUUUUGGUAAAAGUUCUUUGGAAUAGGACAUCAUAGAGGGUGAGAAUCCCGUAUUUGACCAUUACUUCCAGCGUUGUGAUACACUUUCAAAGAGUCGAAUUGUUUGGGAAUGCAGUCCAAAAUGGGUGGUAAAUUUCAUCUAAAGCUAAAUAUUGGCGAGAGACCGAUAGCGAACAAGUACCGUGAGGGAAAGAUGAAAAGAACUUUGAAAAGAGAGUUAAACAGUACGUGAAAUUGUCAAAAGGGAAGCGUUUGACACCAGUGUUGUUUUCUCGAAAAUCAAUUAAAAAGUGUUGGAUUUUGUAUUGUUAAGACCUUAUCAGCUUACUGCACUCUUUUCCUGCACUUUUUAAUGCACUUUUCGUUUAACAAG
rnacentral:rRNA from 1 species